CCCUUUGAAAAUUGGGGUCCCUUUGAAAGCGCUGGGGAAACACCAAGGGGACAUCCCCUCCCGAGCAUCCCAAUAUUCCCAACACCCCCUGGAAACCCCUUUUCACAUCCAGCUGCAGCUUUUCCAGGAGAAUCCAGGCUCGGGGUUUUGCUUUCCACCUCCCAACCCAGCAGAGGAGGGGGUGACCACCUCAGGCUCUCACUGCCCCCCCCUUUUGAGCCGGGUCCCCCCAAAAACCAAGCUGAGGAACAUCCCCCCCACACUUUCUCCCCCCUUUUCCUCCCCCUUCCCCUCCUCUCCCUCCCCUUUGCCUGAUUUAUUCAUGCCAUAAGCCGGUGUUUUUGCGCUGGGCCAUUUAGCAUUUCAUGGGUAAUUCAUAAUUAUUAAUUAUGAAAAUCAAGAGCAAACUCAUCGCUCUCCAAGCGCCUUCUGCAUCGAGCCGGGGGAAGAUAAAUGACCCGUUCCCUGUAACAAGCCAGGGACGAUACUUUUACUUUACACGCGGCGGUUUUAACUUCGUGUUUCACAUCAGAAAAGGGGAUUUAUUGGCCGCGGCGGCCGCUAAACACCCGCUCUCCAGCCUCGGAAUAAAUUAACCCACGGCGGUGUAAAAUUCCCCCUUAACUGAGUAAAUCCCUGAGUUAUGGCAGAGAAAAAAAAAGAGGAUUUUCUUCAGCCCAGCUCCAACCUGGCGUCGGGAGCCUGCGGCAACCCUGGCUCAUUGAUGAGCCCCACAGUGGGAUAACGAGCCCUUUGGAAGAUGCCAACGGACGGCAUCGUAGGAUCCAGGAUCCCAGGAUCCUGGGAGCACCAAAAGCUUCAUUUUUUCCCCUCCUUCCCCCCAAAAAAGAAGCUAUUGAAAUAAAAGAGCCCAAAGCAAAGCCGGGUUGAGCAUCCGCAGUCAUUUCCCUUUAGCCAGGACCCUUCUGGCCGUGGCUGAGCAGCAGGCAGCCAUAAAUACUUUAUUGAGGGCUUAAUGCAUAAUUAAUGGCAGGCAGCAGGCUGUGGCAGGGAGGCAGGGAGCAGGCAGGGCUCGGGGCCACCCAUUUGGAGGUUGGCAAAGCUCCUCCGCCUGCCAGCUCGGGGUUUGGAGACAACAAGGAGACCCUGGAGGUGGGGAGGGGGGGUCCAUCCUCAACCUUUUCCCCCCGGGGGAUGCCCGAGCAUCCGUGGGUCGGAUGCUGGGAAGAUCACAGAAUCACAGAAUCUUCUAGGUUGGAAGGGACCUUCAAGAUCAUCUUGUCCAACCGUCAACCUAACUGACAAAAAUAGACACCCACACAACAAACAAGGAGCACCAUCACUAAACCAGACCUCCCAGCUCUACAUCAACCCCUCUUUUGAACACCUCCAGGGAUGGGGCCUCACCCCCCUCCCUGGGCAGCCCAUUCCAAUGCCUGAGAACCCUUUCAGUGAAAAAAUUGUUCCUAAUAUCCAGCCUGAACCUCCCCUGGUGCAACUUGAGGCCAUUUCCUCUUGUCCUGUCUCCUGGGACUUGAGAAAAGAGCCCGACCCCCAUCUCUCUACACCCUCCUUUCAGGGAGUUGGAGAGAGCAAGAAGGUCUCCCCUCAGCCUCCUCUUCUCCAGGCUGAA
rnacentral:lncRNA from 1 species